UACGGGGGGUGCAAACGUUGUUCGGAAUUACUGGGCGUAAAGCGAGUGUAGGCGGUCUCAAGAGUCGGGUGUGAAAGCCCUGGGCUCAACCCAGGAAGUGCACUCGAAACUGCGAGGCUAGAGUAUCGGAGAGGUUGGUGGAAUUCUCGGUGUAGAGGUGAAAUUCGUAGAUAUCGUGAGGAACACCAGAGGCGAAGGCGGCUACCUGGACAAUUGCUGACGCUCAGACACGAAAGCGUGGGGAGCAAAAGGG
rnacentral:rRNA from 1 species